CAAACACCUGGUGAAGAGACAACGAGGAACAGUUUCCAUGGUAUAAGCCAGUCUUGAUUCCCGAUGUCUUCAUCCCAUCAACACCCUGAAUCCACAGGAGUGCAAGGUGAUGAUGAGGAGUGAUGAAGAGGGAACAAGGGAUUAAAUGAGGUCGUAGUCUGAGGUCCAACUGUGUCGACAACAGAACCCCAACAGAGUGUCUGAGCCCACCCCCACCACACCAUGCUCCACCCAGUACCCUGAAACUCUGCCACCGCAACCCACCGUGCUCCUAACAUCUGAAGAGCCAAGACCCUGUGGCAACCAACGGGGGUCGUCAUCAAAAAUGAGAAA